rnacentral:rRNA from 1 species
UGGGGAAUAUUGGACAAUGGAGGGAACUCUGAUCCAGCAAUUCUGUGUGUGGGAAGAAGGUUUUAGGACUGUAAAACACUUUUAGUAGGGAAGAAAAAAAUGACGGUACCUACAGAAGAAGCAACGGCUAAAUACGUGCCAGCAGCCGCGGUAAUACGUAUGUUGCGAGCGUUAUCCGGAAUUAUUGGGCUUAAAGGGCAUCUAGGCGGUAAGACAAGUUGAAGGUGAAAACCUGUGGCUCAACCAUAGGCUUGCCUACAAAACUGUUGAACUAGAGUACUGGAAAGGUGGGUGGAACUACAAGAGUAGAGGUGAAAUUCGUAGAUAUGUGUAGGAAUGCCGAUGAUGAAGAUAACUCACUGGACAGAAACUGACGCUGAAGUGCGAAAGCUAGGGGAGCAAACAGG